UCUAUUUGUCAUUUGCAUUUAAUGGACCUGUUUCAAAUUUUGUUGAAUACAUAGCUUGUAUUUUUUCAUGGAUCCUUAACUCUUGUUUAGGGUGUGUUUGCAUUGUCAUUUUGGUUUGGAGCAGCAGCAUGAUUUUGAAGUAAUUUCUCUAAUUUUUCUCCAUUUGCCUCAUGUUUUGUUGGGUCUGUGUUUCCGAGAACACAGAUUCAGGAGAAGCUGAUGUUACAUGCACUAGGGACAGAAGGUCUCAAAUUCAUAUGUGGGACACUAAACCCUCCAGGGAUGACUGAUGCAUGCUCAUCACUAGAAGACUCUCAAACCCCCCAGCUCCUGUGAAACAGUUGAUGGGGAAGAAGGACAAGCUAUACCUUUCCCUUUGCUGCCUUUGAAAGGGGAAAUGCAUGCUUCUGCACAUGGAGUCAUCCUGAGGAGGCUCUGAUGAGAUUAUUGUUCACUGCAGUGCACAAUGGAUGUUAUGCUUCAUUUCCAUCACAGGAAGUGUAAAAGAUGGGAGGCCCGUGUGCAUGAACAAAGAGCUCCUAACCAACUCAAAUACAAAAGGAAGCAUAAAGAGGGUGGAAGCAAGGAUGAGUAACCUGAGAGGAAUACAAACCUAUCAUUGCAGCAUCCUGGGACAAAGUUAGGAAAGCUAAAGCCCAAAUGGAUUUGAAUCUGGCCAAGGACAUCAAAGACAACAAGAAGUACUUCUGUAAGUACAUAGGUAACAAAAGGAAGACUAGGAAAUGUGUGAGCUAGUUGCUCAGUAAGACAGUUGAUCUAGUUACAAAAGACAUGGAAAAGGCUGAGGUGCUGAAUGGUUUCUUCACCUCAGUCUUCACUAGCAAGACUGGCCUUCAGGAAUCCCAGGUCCCACAGACAAUGGGGAAAUGCUGCAGCAAGGAAGAAGUACCCUUGGUGGAAAAGGAUCAAGUCAGGAUACUUCAGCAACCUGGCUAUAUGUAAAUCCAUGAGCCCUGAUGGCAUGCACUCAUGAGUGCUGAGGGAUGUGGCAGAUGUCAUUGUGAGAAGUCAUUAUUAUUGUCUCAAUAAUCUUUGAUAGAUGAUAGGGAGAAGUCUCUGAAGACUGGAGGAAAGCAAAUGUCAUCCACAUCUUCAAGAAGGGCAGGAAGGAAGACCCAGGGAACUACAGGAUGGUCAGCUUCACCUUGAUCCCUGGGAAAGCAGCGGAGCAGCUAAUCCUGGAAAGCAUUUCCAGCCACAUGAGGGACAAGAAAAUCAUCAGGACUAGUCAGCAUGGCUUCACCAAGGGGAAGAGCCACAAAGAUGAUGAAGGCACUGGAGCAUCUCUCACAUAUGAGAAAAGGCUGAGAGAGAUGGGACUGCUCAACCCAGAGGAAAGAAAGCUCAGGAAGAUCUCAUCAAUAUAUACAAGGAUAUGAGAGUGCAAAGAAGAUGGUGCCAGGUUCUUUUCAAUGGUGCCCGUGACAGGACCAGAAGCAAUGGGCACAAACUGAAACACAGGAAGUGUCCUCUGAACAUCAGAAAAUAAUUUUUCACUGUGUGGGUGACCAAGUACUGGCAUAGGUUGCCUGGGGAGGUUUUGGAAUCUGCAUCCUUGGAGAUAUUCAGAAGCCAUCUGGACAUGAUCCUGGGCAACUGCCUGUAGGUGGCUUCGCUUGAGUUCGGGGAUUGGACCACAUGACCUCCAGAGGUCCCUGCCAACCUCAACCAUUCUGUGAUUCUGUGAAAUUAUAGUAUUUGAGCAAAAAUGCAUUUUAGAAAUAUUCUACAGUGUCAAAAGUCACCGGAAUAAAAAAACAACAAAGCCACAAAAAACCCCCAAAACAACAGCUUUCUGGGCUUCAAAUCAUGUGGGCCUUCUUAGUAAGUAAAAAGACAUUUCCUCUAUCUGCCAGCCUUGCCAAAAUGAAGCGGAGGUCUGAAAUUCAAGAUGAAUGCUUUAAUAGUGAAAAAGGUGUUUGAAAAUGAUUGAGACAAGAAACUGCUAAUGGACACUUUUAAUUAGCUUAGGGUACCAAGAUGAAAGACUCAGCCCUUUUCACACUGCCGGCUGUUUUCACUGUGUGUGGUAUUUCCUUCUGCUAUGGAUGGGACAUAGGUGUGCCUAACCAACACUUCAUUAUACAGAAACAGAAAAACUGAUGCUCGAUUCAUUUCAAUAUAUGACAUAUGGGCUGGAGUGAGCAGCACUAAUGUGCUCAAAUAGCCUGAAGCAAGUAGUUUAAUAGAUUCCAUGACUACUUGAUGAGUCUGAACACAAAAGAGGGGCCAGAGGGACUCUGGCAAGAAGUAGCAGGAGGGAAGUGAAGCAGGGACAUACAAUGAACCAAAGGUUUUCUCCUGUUUCUUAAAAUAUUGGUAUGUCUGCUCUGCUGAAUGUACUGUUUCUUUUAAAAGCUUCUGGAAAUACUCUUACAAAAAUUCAAAACACAGCCACAAAUCAUUUAUAGGAGACAAAAAACAAUAAGUAGUGUCAGCACAGAGGGAUAUAUUUUACUUGGCUGUGCCAGGAGGAAUUAUGGUGGGCUGUGAUGAGUGGAAUAUAAAGUAACAUAAGUUGCCUGUUGACAACAGGGUUUGAAAUUAUAAAAUAUAAAACCACUAUAUUUCCCUCACAGUAUCAAACAGCUGGGAUUUUUUUAUACCUAGUAGCAGAAUACCAUGUCAUUUUUCAGAGCCCCAUAAUUCUGUAACCAUGUUUAAGUACAUGCUGUUAUUUAUUUAGUUUGUUUAUUUGGUUUCAAAUAUUACAUCGAUUAUGAUGCACUGAGAUGCAAAUACAACAGUAGUGGUCAGCAUUUUGUGGAAAUCUGUUAUCAUAGAUGAUUAUCUGGCCUUAACUUUGGUUUUGGUCAUUAAGGGGAUUGCAUUUAAUAUACUAAAAUAGAUAGCAAUAGUACCAUCCUCUUAUGAAUCAUCACUGAGUUAAAAAAUCCUACAGGAAUCUUAUUUUUCAUGCUAUUUAAAAAUCUAAUUAUAAAAAUAAGUCUUUAUGAGGAACCGACAGCAGCCGAGUUCAAAUAAGAGCUUUU